GAACCGGAACGGGACGGGAAGGGAACCGGAACGGAACGGGACGGGAACUGAACCGGAACAGGAACGGAACGGGGCCGUGCCGGUGCUGGCGGCGGUCUGCAGUGCUCACACCCCGCCCCUCCCCCCGCGGCACGGGGCUGCAGUGACGCCGGUGGCCGAACGGGGGCGCCGCCCCUUUAUUAAAACUUUUGUCCAGGGGUCAAAGGUCACCGAGCGCAGCCCGGGGGUCCCUGAGGCGUCACGGGGUCACAGUGCAAAGGUCACGGCCGGGAGGGGGGUCAGAGGUCAGCAGCAGAGUGCCCGCAGGACAGCAGAGGGCAAAGGGCGCCAGAGGGCAAAGGUCAGCACCAAUAAGUCACCAGAGGUCAAAGGUCAGCAGGAGGUCACAGGAGGUCCCUGAGGUUGAGGCCACCGAGAGAGGUCAGGAGCACCACAGAGCUUGGCACGAGGUCAGCAGGAGAGCAGGGGUCACCCAGGGGUCACAGGGUCAUCCAGGGGUCACACCCAGAGGUCACCCAGGGGCCACUGAGGGGUCACCCGGGGGUCACCCAGAGGUCACCCAAGGG